GUGCUUGCUUUGACAGCACAUAUAUUAAAAUUGGAAUGAUAUAGAGACAAUUAGCAUGGCCCCUGCUCAAGGAUGACAUGCAAAUUCAUGAGGCUUUCCAUAUUUAA
rnacentral:snRNA from 1 species